UACGAAGGGGGCGAGCGUUGUUCGGAAUUACUGGGCGUAAAGGGCGCGUAGGCGGCGACUCUAGUCAGAUGUGAAAGUCCGGGGCUCAACUCCGGAUCUGCGGUGGGUACGGGCAGACUAGAGUGAUGUAGGGGAGACUGGAAUUCCUGGUGUAGCGGUGAAAUGCGCAGAUAUCGGGAGGAACACCAAUGGCGAAGGCAGCUUGCUGGGACGGUACUGACGCUGAGACGCGAAAGCGUGGGGAGCAAACAGG
rnacentral:rRNA from 1 species